rnacentral:rRNA from 1 species
AGAGUUUGAUCCUGGCUCAGGACGAACGCUGGCGGCGCGCUUAACACAUGCAAGUCGAGCGAGAACCAGCCCUUCGGGGCUGGGGACAGCGGCGAACGGGUGAGUAACACGUGAGUAAUCCACCCUCGGUACCGGAAUAGCCCGGGGAAACCCGGAUUAAUGCCGGAUGGCCCAUCUGUUCUUCGGAAUUUGAUGGAAAAGGUAGCUUCGGCCUCCGACCGGGGACGAGCUCGCGGCGGAUUAGCUUGUUGGUGGGGUAAAGGCCCACCAAGGCGACGAUCCGUAGCUGGUCUGAGAGGACGAUCAGCCACACUGGGACUGAGACACGGCCCAGACUCCUACGGGAGGCAGCAGUGGGGAAUCUUGCGCAAUGGGCGAAAGCCUGACGCAGCGACGCCGCGUGAGGGAAGAAGGCCUUCGGGUUGUAAACCUCUUUCAGGAGGGACGAAGCCACUCGGGUGAAUAGCCCAGAGGGUGACGGUACCUCCAGAAGAAGCCCCGGCUAACUACGUGCCAGCCGCCGCGGUAAUUC